CCAAAAAGGAAAAUAUUUUCUUUUUAGAAGACAUACUCGGAUACUAUUUAAUUUGGUAGGGGAGUCACAUUAACCUCGGAGGAUUAUGGGAAUUAGGGUGAAAUUAAAUUAUUUUGAUUUCCAGUCUAGAGAAUUAAAACCUACGGAAACGUGAUUUUAGCCUCGGGUAAACACUAAAGGUAAAUAAGGUGCCAGCAACCGCGGUCAAACCUUAUAUUAGAGACUGACUUUUUUUGAAACUUAUAAAUUCAUUUUAUGAUCUACAUCUCAAAAAUUUUUUUUUGCGGUGAAAUGCUAUGAGAAUCUAUAUUUUGUUUGAUGUAUAAACUUAUAAAAUUAAGAAGAAAAACUAGGAUUAGAGACCCUACUAUUCUUAAGCUGUAAAGGACUGUUGAGUAGUAAAUUACUUGAAACUUAAAAAUUAUGGCGGCUGCUGAAAUAUUUUAGGGGAGCUUACACAAUAAUUGAUAACCACCAAGACCUUCUGCUAACGGACUCAUAGUUUGUAUGCCGUCGUCUAAAACUUUUCCGAGAAAAGUUUUAUCGAAGUAUCUAAAUAUUUUUACUUCUAUAUGACAGAUCAAGGUGCAGCUGAUACGUUAGAUAGUUGCGAGCUACAAUAAUAACAUAUUUUCGGAGAAAGAACAGAAAAUUCUUUGGAAGAUGGACUUAAAAGUAAAGGCCUAAAUUUGCAUUAAACAAUGAAUAAAAAUUUUAGUAGUGC
rnacentral:rRNA from 1 species